UACAGAGGGUGCGAGCGUUGUCCGGAAUCACUGGGCGUAAAGGGCGCGUAGGUGAUGGCUUAAGCGUGCGGUGAAAGCUCGGAGCUCAACUCCGAGUCGGCCGUGCGAACUGGGCUCACUGGAGCAUAGUAGAGGCAGGUGGAAUUCCGGGUGUAGCGGUGGAAUGCGUAGAGAUCCGGAAGAACACCGGUGGCGAAGGCGGCCUGCUGGGCUAUGGCUGACACUGAGGCGCGACAGCGUGGGGAGCAAACAGG
rnacentral:rRNA from 1 species